rnacentral:rRNA from 1 species
GAUGUGGGGGAUAACCAUUGGAAACGAUGGCUAAUACCGCAUAAUGCCUACGGGCCAAAGAGGGGGACCUUCGGGCCUCUCGCGUCAAGAUAUGCCUAGGUGGGAUUAGCUAGUUGGUGAGGUAAUGGCUCACCAAGGCGACGAUCCCUAGCUGGUCUGAGAGGAUGAUCAGCCACACUGGAACUGAGACACGGUCCAGACUCCUACGGGAGGCAGCAGUGGGGAAUAUUGCACAAUGGGCGAAAGCCUGAUGCAGCCAUGCCGCGUGUAUGAAGAAGGCCUUCGGGUUGUAAAGUACUUUCAGUUGUGAGGAAGGGGGUGUCGUUAAUAGCGGCAUCUCUUGACGUUAGCAACAGAAGAAGCACCGGCUAACUCCGUGCCAGCAGCCGCGGUAAUACGGAGGGUGCGAGCGUUAAUCGGAAUUACUGGGCGUAAAGCGCAUGCAGGUGGUUCAUUAAGUCAGAUGUGAAAGCCCGGGGCUCAACCUCGGAACUGCAUUUGAAACUGGUGAACUAGAGUACUGUAGAGGGG